UUCGGAUUGUAGGCUGCAACCCGCCUACAUGAAGUUGGAAUUGCUAGUAAUCGCAGAUCAGAAUGCUGCGGUGAAUACGUUCCCGGGCCUUGUACACACCGCCCGUCACACCAUGGGAGCCGGUAAUACCCGAAGUCAGUAGUCUAACCGCAAGGGGGACGCUGCCGAAGGUAGGAUUGGCGACUGGGGUGAAGUCGUAACAAGGUAGC
rnacentral:rRNA from 1 species